rnacentral:rRNA from 1 species
UGAGCAACCUGCCCUUGACUCCGGAAUAACAGCUGGAAACAGCUGCUAAUACCGGAUACGACCUCCGAUGGCAUCAUCUGGAGGUGGAAAGCUCCGGCGGUCAAGGAUGGGCUCGCGGCCUAUCAGCUUGUUGGUGAGGUAACGGCUCACCAAGGCUUCGACGGGUAGCCGGCCUGAGAGGGCGACCGGCCACACUGGGACUGAGAUACGGCCCAGACUCCUAGGGAG